rnacentral:lncRNA from 1 species
GGCUUCUUGAUCCUAUGUGUUGUAUUGAGUGUUGGUCACUGGUCUUUGGGAAGCUUGGACAGAAGUGGGGCAGCCAUGGAGCUGCUGACUGGGACUGGCCUGUGGCCCGUGGUCAUAGUCACAGUCAUCUUCAUAUUACUGGUGGACAUGUUGCACCGGUGCCAGCGCUGGACUUCUUGCUGCCCACCAGACCCUGUGCCAUGGCCUGUGCUGGGUAACCUGCUGCAGGUGGACCUGGAUAACAUGCCAUAUAACUUGUACAAGCUUCACAACCGCUAUGGUGACGUGUUCAGCCUGCAGAUGGGCUGGAACCACAUGGCCGUGAUCAACGGACUGAAGGUGAUACAGGAAGUGUUGGUGACCUGUGGAGAGGACACUGCUGACCGCCCUGAAAUGCCCAUCUUUCCACACCUAGGCUAUGGGCAAAAAGCUAAAGGUGUGGUCCUUGCUCCUUAUGGGCCUGAGUGGAAAGAGCAGAGGUGAUUCUCUGCGUCGACCCUGUGCAACUUCAGCCUGGGCAAGAAAUCACUGGAGCAGUGGGUGAUGGAAGAGGUUGGACACCUCUUUGAUGUCUUCACUGCCCAUGCUGAGGAGGCUGUAGACAAGAGAUUUGGAAAGAACACAUCUAGAAGUGUCCACCACAGUAAUAGGAGCCUGGAGAUUGACAUACAGCAAAAGGAAGUGAGAAGCUGACCAAGGUCAGGGCUUCUAGAAGCUGAGACCCUGGCCCUCUGCCCACAUGGAACAUCUGUGAGAUUUUCCAGGGUUGGCUGACAAAGUCUUCCCUGGGCAAAAGACAUUUCUCAUAAUGGUGGAUAAGCUGGUGACUGAGCACAAGAGGACCUGGAACUCGGACCAGCCGCCUCGAGACCUGACUGAUGCCUUUAUGGCUGAGAUGGAGAAGGCAAAGGGAAACCCUGAGAGUAGCUUCAAUGAUGCAAAUCUAUGUCUGGUUGUCCUUGACCUGCUGGGUGCUGCAACUGUGACCACCUCAACCACACUGUCCUGGGCCCUGCUGCUUAUGAUCCUGCAUCCGGAUGUGCAGUGUGAGCCUGGCUGGGGCUGUCAAGAAAGGAGGAGGAGGGUAGAGGCAAACUCCUUAAACUUACUUGGGACACUUGUAGAUCCCAGCAUUGAGUUAACCCAGACUGCAGCCAAGUACAACAGGAAAUCGAUGAGGUCAUUUGGUAUGUGUGGCUUCCAGAGAUGGCAGACCAGGUCUGCAUGCCCUUCACCAAUGCUGUCAUUCAUGAGGGCAUGACUCUCAUCUCCAACCUGUUCCGUGCUGAAGGAUGAGACUGUCUGGGAGAAGCCCCUUCGCUUCCAUCCUGAACACUUCCUGGAUGCCCAGGGCCACUUUGUGAAGCCUGAGGCCUUCAUGCCAUUCUCAGCAGGCCACAGAUCAUGCCUGGGGGAGCCCCUGGCCCUCAUGGAGCUCUUCCUCUUCUUCACCUGCCUCCUGCAGCGCUUUAGCUUCUCAAUGCCAGCUGGACAAUCCCUUCCCAGUGAUUAUGGCAUCUAUACAAUGCCAGUUACUCCAGCACCUACCAGCUCUGUGCAGUGGUUUGCUAGCAGGGGCAGUGGCUCCAGCCAUCAUCACAGAUUGUUCUGACUGAUGUCCAAUAAACAAGUUUUGUGUCUG